ACAGCAGCGCCACCACGGCGCACAUAACCUACCGAAGCGACGAUGCAAUUACUUACUGUAGUCAAAAGCCGGAAGUGAGGUAAUAUAUUAUUUCUAUUUGACACAAUCCAACCGGGUCCAGAAUCCGUUUAGUCUGACAACACAGUACGUAACGACAUUGUCACGAUAAGGUCAUUCAUGUCCGGGUCAAAUGUCAUCCUGGGGCCAAGUACGUGUAGACGGGCAGCGGCACGUUCACGUGGAUUACAGCUGGAGGGCGCCACCGGUUCGGCAAAGCACUAGACCCGAAGGAUCGCUCGUUAAAUAAUAGCCAGUAGGGAAAGGCCGCACUCUGGUGGAUGAAAACAGAACUAGAAUUACCCAUAGAAACCAUAUCGCUUGUGUAAACAAUUUUGAGGUUACGUAAGCACACUUACUAUUGAAUAUUCACGAUCUUUGCUUGGCUACCCUCUCUCUCUCCUCUCACUCACUCUCUCUCUCUCUCUCUCUCUCUUCACGCUACUGGCAAUUUCCUCCAAGCAACAGCGAUCCAGGACAAAGAGCCCAGCAGCAAUACCCUGAUGGGAACUACGGCGUGCAGUGAAGGCAGCAGCCAUGUUGCCUGCAGGGAAUACCAACAGACGGUACGGACAAAUAUCAUGGAAGUGAAGCUGGAUCUACUUUGCCACUCUGACCUAGGCGAUGAAGCGAAAGGACUUCCUGGCUGCGGUAACGACUCGGGACGAUCGGGAAGUCCUGGUGACUGGAACGGUUAAACAAUGGCGUCCUUUCGAAUUAUACGAGAGGAAAUAGGAAUGAGGAGUGAGUCGCGAAUGACAAGAGCCUGGGGGCAUGAGGGAAGUCGGAGAAGAUGAGAUAGGUGUACCACGUGACUCGAGCACUUCCUAUUGGUCCGUAUACAACUUGAACCGUCGACGCAAAUGAUGCACCCUGUACCUGCUGUUAGCUCCCUGAGACUUUUUUCUUUCGAAUUAUUCGCAGACUGGUAAGAAUUACCGACAACAUUGUUACGAGUGAGAAAUAAAGAAAAGAGGAACUACAAGGAAAACGGAAGUCUCGGUGAAAGCUGAGAAAAGUUUCUUCCGGUUUUUGCUAUGGGGAAGCACGGUUGAAAAUUCUAUAAAAAAUUAAAUUAAACGAAUAGACUUCAAAGUGUGCGAGGAACACCCGGUAUAAC